UCCGUUUUGCGUUCUCCGGUUCUUUUAGGCUCGGUGGAAGAUGGUAAAGUCAGAACGUACCGAUUGUAGCUGUUGCUUUAAGCUACCCUGGGUCGUUGUACAUUCAAGCCUAGCACUGCGCAGCAUUAUUUUCAGCUUCAAACCGCAAAUGUUUUCAGAGCCGCUAUCACAUAAAUUAGCAGCGCGCCAGGCUGACAGCACGCUGCGGACGGGCAGAUUUCCUUCGCGUUCACUAACUCGUAACCAGAGAAAAAAGAUACAAUUUAGCUACCCGUGUGAUGUGACACCAACCCGUCGUAGCAAACUUCUGUCAACUUGCUACUGAGACUGAAUGUGUUUGACUUGCAUAGAGUGGUCAUAUUAGAGUGCAUAGAGUGGUCAUAAUAUGGGUUAUGUGUAUAAUCCGUUUUUUACGCAAACCUGCGAUCCAACCUGUUGCAAAUUUAACAUGAAUAGCCCAUAGUCUACAUACUAUUGUCUUGUCCAUUGUUUUGUUUUUUAAGAAAACCAAUACAAAUGUAUCAGUGUUUGUGUAUUCAUUUGAGAGUUCAAUUCACUUGCUAGAAAUAAGCGCAUCAGAACUUCACAGUUUAUUCUCAUUUAGCAGCCUGGGGCACCUGUGGCUCAGAACACAUUUUAUGAUCUGAGGGGUGGAGCCUUUGGUUACUUCACCACAGACCCUGUGGUAUAAAGUAGGCAAAGCCUCCACCUCUCAGUGAUCACCUAGGUGAGGACUCAAAGCGAAACCUGCACAUACAGAGAGUACCUCAAGACCAAAACAUUCCUAUGAGGCAGACGCCAGUACCAGUAUGGCAGAAUUCAUCAAGAAGACGGUGUUGGAUGAAACCCCCAGUAAAAGGGGAUAAAAAGGUUGAGGUCCAUACUGAGAAGAUAGGACGGCUCCCAGUUCGAUGAGGAACACCAAUCUUGAUUGAUGAUCCGGGUCACAGCACCAAUGUGACCUUCCUGGUCCCGUCCGUGAGUCAACACAGGAAGGAGUAAUGGAUGGAUAGUUAUUUUAUUUCCAAAACUACAAUCAUGGGACACACACAGUAUGGAUGAAUGAUGAGUAGUAGCCGGGAUAUAAACAGCAAUCCCACAGCAAUUCUCCAUGUAUCUGCUGUAUAAUAUACUGACAAAAUAACAAUUGAAAUGUCUUUCAAAGUCAGUGCAUUUAACAAUAAUAAAUAAAUAAAAAUGUGUUUCCAUGUGUAAUCUCAUAUUCACAACAUCAGAAUAAACUAUCAUCCUUUUUAGUAUCAAAAUAAAUCAAAUUAACCUAAAAUUACUCUGUCACACUCUUGUGGUGAAGAAAUAUAAUACACCUAGAAUGUACCACAUAUUUUCCUCAGCUAACAAAACCAGGCUAAUACGCUGGUUGGUGCUCAUGAGUUUAUAAAACAUAUAUAUUUGUCAUAAAUUACCUGCAAUGAUGGGACACACACAGUAUGGAUGAAUGAUCAGUAGUCGACAGGAUACAAAUGGCACUCCUAAAGAAGAUGCAUUCGUUAGCUAGCAUAAAACUCACAUGGCAAGUAACAUAUAGAGUGGCUUAUUUGACGCUAAACCAACAACAUUAAUUACUAAACAUAAAUUGCUAAUGUACGAGGUAAAAUGUGGGUUUUAUGAUUUAAUGUCAACUUUAUACAUUUCUGUCCCUAGACCAUUCAAUUUUCAACUCACCCACAGCAAUUCUCCAUAAUUCUGCUGUGGAUUACCCAGAAUCCCAUACCUUUAUCACUGAGUGUGUUAGACAAUGUAAACACAGUAAUCCACCAGGAGGUGGCAUAAUGUUCAUUUUAUUUUGGAAUUUAACAAUUUAAUCAUACUGUUACAAGAGCAACUGUUGACAAUUUGCAGAGCCUCGCUGUACAGUGGAAAAACGGGAAAAGUUCAGGAUUGGAGGAAUACAUGAUAAGGACAGUGGAGGAUGACCUGGUGGAAAUGAAGAAUAAAUGCUGGUCAUGCUGCAAAGAAUUUCCACUGUGUUAGCAGAUGCUGAGACGGUACAACCUGCUGACUGAUGCAUACCAUAUACUUGGCCUUGGAUACCAGUUCCUACUCACCCUCUCAGUUACCCAGGUAGUUCCUACUCACCCUCUCAGCAACCCAGGUAGUUCCUACUCACCCUCUCUGUUACCCAGGUAGCUUGUCAGUGAAGUUUCUCUACCUUAAAGUAUAUCAAGAGCACUCUCUCACAAGAACCUCUAGAGGCCUUCAUGCUGAUGGCCACCGGGAAGGACAUCCUAAUGGCCCUGGAUACUGACAUGGUGAUCCAUAGAGUUGCAGAGAAAAGCCAGCUGUUGUGACAUAUUUUCUAUAACUUGCUUACUUACCAUUAUUUUACUCCUACAUUUCUAAUGUCUCUUUCCUGUCUGUGAUAUUGCUGUCCAAUACUUUGACAGAGUAAAGCCAGCCAGCUGACCUUGAGCAGCAGUUAGACAGUUCUAUGUUUCAGUGAGUAUUGUGGAUAUUUUAGCAUCUCUUUUUUACUCUAAGCUUCUGGUGAUGUAGAUGAAUCAUGAUGGCUUGUGCUGCUCUCUUACAGGUUACAUUCUAUGUUUGGAGAGGUGUUCAACCAUUGUUUUUUAGAAGGUGUACUCCCAUGACUUAAAGCCAGCCAGCUGACCCUGAGCAGCAGUUAGACAGUUCUAUGUCUCAGUGAGUAUUGUGGAUAUUUUAGCAUCUCUUUUUCACUCAAGGCUUCAUGUGAUGUGAGGUAGUUCAAUCAUGACAAAUUCAGUGUGUUUUCUGUAGAGGUUUUAUAACAAUGUGCAGCAUUUGUGUGUGUGCGUUCCGCAGCCUUUUUAAAGUAGUACUGCAAUGGUGAUCAAUGGUUUUGAUGCAGCUAGGUGGUUGUAUUAGGGACUGGUCGUGUGUGCAUUAGCAAGGCGGCCGUGGGGGAGUAUACGGGGGCCAGUUCUGGUGGGCUGGUCUGGAUCAAAGUCCUGGGCCGUUUUUUACUCCCAGUCCAUCCAUUACUGUAAGUAAUGUAUUGUCAUAAAACAUUUAAUUAUAAUGACAACAUUCACCUAGGAAUUCACUUGUUGAAGGCCACAGGACUAAAAAUGAUCAAAUUCAACAACCAUCUCCAUGUUACUAACAAAUAUAGUCAUGGGUGGUAAUGCUACAAUUCACUCGAAAAGGCAAGGCACACAGGGAAAUUAUAUUGGGGCUUAUUUUUUAUACACCUCAAAUGUGAACCCCCUACAGGAUCACAGUGACUCUAUCGGUUUAAGUGAGGACUACAAAAUCACUUUAAGUAACUGUACUCAGAUAUACUAAGUGCAAUGGGUUUCCUAAAAGUUUUGAGAAAUGAUAGGGUUUACAGUGUAUGACCAAUAUAUUAUGCAAGUAUGAUUUACAUUUUAAUAAUUCUACUUUUUCUGUAUUUAAACUAUUGUAUUUUGUUGUGAAAUUAAUCUUGCUGCUCUGUGUACCACUGACUUCUUUACUUUUUGGCCUUGUUUUGCAUAUAUUUUAACUUCCUAUAAUCCUUAUUAUACUGUAUUUAUUCCUAUAUAUAUUUAUUCAUCAUUUGUUUGUUAAUGUUGUUUAUGGACUCACGUUGUAAAAUAUCUGUUUAUUUUUCCCCCUUCUGGAACAAUAAAGAC